GUAGGUGAACCUGCGGAAGGAUCAUUACUGAGAACUUGCCCUUUGGGGUAGAUCUCCCACCCUCUGUUUACAAUACCUUUGUUGCUUUGGCAGGCCCGUCUUUGGACCACCGGCUUCGGCUGGUCAGUGUCUGCCAGAGGACCCCAAAUUCAUUAUUUUGUGUUGUCUGAGUACUAUAUAAUAGUUAAAACUUUCAACAACGGAUCUCUUGGUUCUG
rnacentral:misc_RNA from 1 species